GCGCUGAAGCUGGCUCUCGAGUACAUCGUGCAGUGCAUGAACAAGCUCGGCAUCUGCGUGGUGGACCACUUCCUGGGCAAGGAGACCGGGCAGCAGAUUGGCGACGAGGUGCGCGCCCUGCACGACACCAGCAAGUUCAUGGACGGGCAGCUGGUCAGCCAGAAGAGCGACUCGUCCAAGGACAUCCGCGGCGACAAGAUAACCUGGAUCGAGGGCAAGGAGCCCUGCUGUGAGACCAUCAGGCUGCUCAUGAGCAGCACGGACGACCUGAUCCGCCACUGCAAGGGGAAGCUGGGGAACUACAAGAUCAACGGCCGUAUGAAAGCCAUGUAUUGGAACAGAUUAUGUACGUCAUGUUGAUAACUCAAAUGGAGAUGGAAGAUGUGUGACACGUAUAUAUUAUCUUAAUAAAGACUGGGAUGCCAAGGUGAGUGGAGGUAUACUUCGAAUUUUUCCAGAAGGCAAAGCCCAGUUUGCUGACAUUGAACCCAAAUUUGAUAGACUGCUGUUUUUCUGAUCUGACCGUCGCAAUCCUCAUGAAGUUCAGCCAGCAUAUGCUAUCAGAUACACAAUAACUGUUCAGUAUUUUGAUGCAGAUGAGAGAGCACGAGCUAAAGUAAAAUAUCUAAUAGGAGAAAAAGGUGUGAGGGUUGAGUUCAAUAAACCUUCUGAUUCAGUCAGUAAAGACGUCUUAUAGAGUCUUUGAACCAGCAAUACCCCCAUUUCACCUACAAUAAUUGUUGAUGCUAUGUGUUAACUUGUGAAUACA